rnacentral:rRNA from 1 species
UUGUAAGUGUCUAAGGGCGCAUGGUGGAUGCCUUGGCAUCGAGAGCCGAUGAAGGACGUGGGAGGCUGCGAUAUGCCUCGGGGAGCUGUCAACCGAGCGUGGAUCCGAGGAUUUCCGAAUGGGGAAACCCAGCACGAGUGAUGUCGUGCUACCCGCAUCUGAAUAUAUAGGGUGCGGGAGGGAACGCGGGGAAGUGAAACAUCUCAGUACCCGUAGGAGGAGAAAACAAUUGUGAUUCCGCAAGUAGUGGCGAGCGAACGCGGAACAGGCUAAACCGCACGCAUGGGUAACCGGGUAGGGGUUGUGUGUGCGGGGUUGUGGGAGGAUAUGUCUCAGCGCUACCCGGCUGAGAGGCAGUCAGAAAGUGUCGUGGUUAGCGGAAGUGGCCUGGGAUGGUCUGCCGUAGACGGUGAGAGCCCGGUACGCGAAAACCCGGCACCUGCCUAGUAUCAAUUCCCGAGUAGCAGCGGGCCCGUGGAAUCCGCUGUGAAUCCGCCGGGACCACCCGGUAAGCCUAAAUACUCCUCGAUGACCGAUAGCGGAUUAGUACCGUGAGGGAAUGGUGAAAAGUACCCCGGGAGGGGAGUGAAAGAGUACCUGAAACCGUGUGCCUACAAUCCGUCAGAGCCUCCUUUUCCUCUCCGGAGGAGGGUGGUGAUGGCGUGCCUUUUGAAGAAUGAGCCUGCGAGUCAGGGACAUGUCGCAAGGUUAACCCGUGUGGGGUAGCCGCAGCGAAAGCGAGUCUGAAUAGGGCGACCCACACGCGCAUACGCGCGUGUGAAUAGUGGCGUGUUCUGGACCCGAAGCGGAGUGAUCUACCCAUGGCCAGGGUGAAGCGCGGGUAAGACCGCGUGGAGGCCCGAACCCACUUAGGUUGAAGACUGAGGGGAUGAGCUGUGGGUAGGGGUGAAAGGCCAAUCAAACUCCGUGAUAGCUGGUUCUCCCCGAAAUGCAUUUAGGUGCAGCGUUGCGUGGUUCACCGCGGAGGUAGAGCUACUGGAUGGCCGAUGGGCCCUACUAGGUUACUGACGUCAGCCAAACUCCGAAUGCCGUGGUGUAAAGCGUGGCAGUGAGACGGCGGGGGAUAAGCUCCGUACGUCGAAAGGGAAACAGCCCAGAUCGCCGGCUAAGGCCCCCAAGCGUGUGCUAAGUGGGAAAGGAUGUGCAGUCGCAAAGACAACCAGGAGGUUGGCUUAGAAGCAGCCACCCUUGAAAGAGUGCGUAAUAGCUCACUGGUCAAGUGAUUGUGCGCCGAUAAUGUAGCGGGGCUCAAGCACACCGCCGAAGCCGCGGCACAUCCACCUUGUGGUGGGUGUGGGUAGGGG